GGUGCGUUUUUGGGUUUCGAAUAUAAAUAUAGCAAUAUGGGUGUCCUUAGAUUCGUAUUCUAAUGUAGAUCGCAUAUUUUAUAGAUUUUGAUCGUUCAGAGGCUCUACGCAGAGGGAAGACAUUAGUUUGAUUGUUCGUGGCACCCGUUCGGCAUUGAGAGUACGAUCCAGGCUCCAGUUCUACGCCCCGUGGCUGAUACGCGAGGGUGACAUCUUUCGGUCAUGCAGGAUGGUGAGGACGCGAUCGACCGCUACUGGAGGCCAGGAGCCUGCACCUGCACCUGCACCCGCACCCGCAUCCAUACCCGUUGCCCGAGCAGCUGUCCGUGGGCGAGGCAGGGG